rnacentral:rRNA from 1 species
UGGGGAAUAUUGCACAAUGGGCGCAAGCCUGAUGCAGCCAUGCCGCGUGUAUGAAGAAGGCCUUCGGGUUGUAAAGUACGUUCAGCGGGGAGGAAGGGAGUAAAGUUAAUACCUUUGCUCAUUGACGUUACCCGCAGAAGAAGCACCGGCUAACUCCGUGCCAGCAGCCGCGGUAAUACGGAGGGUGCAAGCGUUAAUCGGAAUUACUGGGCGUAAAGCGCACGCAGGCGGUUUGCUAAGUCAGAUGUGAAAUCCCCGGGCUCAACCUGGGAACUGCAUCUGAUACUGGCAAGCUUGAGUCUCGUAGAGGGGGGUAGAAUUCCAGGUGUAGCGGUGAAAUGCGUAGAGAUGUGGAGGAAUACCGGUGGCGAAGGCGGCCCCCUGGACAAAGACUGACGCUCAGGUGCGAAAGCGUGGGGAGCAAACAGG